UACGAAGGGGGCGAGCGUUUGUUCGGAAUUACUGGGCGUAAAGAGCGCGCAGGCGGUCGUUCAAGUCGCGUGUGAAAGCCCCCGGCUCAACUGGGGAGGGUCACGCGAUACUGAUCGACUCGAAGGCAGGAGAGGGAAGUGGAAUUCCCGGUGUAGUGGUGAAAUGCGUAGAUAUCGGGAGGAACACCAGUGGCGAAGGCGACUUCCUGGCCUGUUCUUGACGCUGAGGCGCGAAAGCUAGGGGAGCAAACGGGG
rnacentral:rRNA from 1 species